rnacentral:rRNA from 1 species
AGUGAACGCUGGCGGUAGGCCCAACACAUGCGAGUCGAACGGCAGCACAGGAGAGCUUGCUCUCUGGGUGGCGAGUGGCGGACGGGUGAGGAAUACAUCGGAAUCUACCUUUUCGUGGGGGAUAACGUAGGGAAACUUACGCUAAUACCGCAUACGACCUACGGGUGAAAGUGGGGGACCGCAAGGCCUCACGCGAUUAGAUGAGCCGAUGUCCGAUUAGCUAGUUGGCGGGGUAAUGGCCCACCAAGGCGACGAUCGGUAGCUGGUCUGAGAGGAUGAUCAGCCACCCUGGAACUGAGACACGGUCCAGACGCCUACGGGAGGCAGCAGUGGGGAAUAUUGGACAAUGGGCGCAAGCCUGAUCCAGCCAUACCGCGUGGGUGAAGAAGGCCUUCGGGUUGUAAAGCCCUUUUGUUGGGAAAGAAAUCCUGUCGAUUAAUACUCGGUGGGGAUGACGGUACCCAAAGAAUAAGCACCGGCUAACUUCGUGCCAGCAGCCGCCGUAACAC